AAUGAUUCCUUAUUCCUUAUUUCAAUCCGUAUCAAAUGAUAAUUUGAUAAAAUUCAUUACAACUGUUAUAUUUAAGGAUAGGUAAACACAGUGCAUAUAUCAACUAUGGUCACGUCAAGCAAUUAGAAUGUGUAACCUCAAAGUUGUUUGUAAAUUCCUAAUGCGGUUUAAUUUGGCAAAUGACUUGUUGUCAGUAGAAGGAAAAUUAAGAAAACACACUGGAAUGAUUAAAAUGAAGGGUAAGCCGAAAGGCGUGGGGUUAAUGGACGUUAUUGUACCACAAUCAUACAAUACAUUUUUUUCAAUUCAGAAAGGUUAAAUUGCUACAAUUCUUAAAUAUUAUAUGAAAUAAUCAGCAAUUAUACAUUUUCGUACGUAAUAAAGAUCUCUUAGCGAUUUUUAGUUCAAAGUUAACAACAGUAUUCUCCAGUACAAUACAUGAAAUUUUGGGGUAAUAUUACAUGAACAAUCUUAUUUCCAAAACAACGCCUAUACAUCCCAAAACUUGGCGAACGCACUCUGGGAGGCAUGGUUUCCAAAAUUCGACUAUAUAAAGAACUAGGAAUCUCAAAUCUUAGAUUUUGUACUUAUAUUGUGUAGCACUAGAAUUGGACUAUUCUAAAGAAGUGUGGGGCCUCCAAAAACUAUCAUUCUAUUGAAUUGGUACAGAAUAUAGGCCUUCGUUUUAACUUAGGUGCUCACAGAUUUACACCUUUACCAGCGCUACACGGGGAAUUUAGAUGGAAACUCUCUCAUUGCAGACACUUUAUGAACUCAGUGCGAUUAUGGAAUCAUUUUCUGACAAAAGAGGACAAACGGAAGCUGAAAAUUACCUUGAAAUGCACAUUUCAAAGUCUCUCAGAUCUAUGAUUGCACAAUUUAGAUAUGGAAUACUUCCAAUUAGAAUUAAAACGGGACGAUAUAAGAGGGAACCUCUCGAUAAAAGAAUAUGCAAUUUUUGUUUAUUAAAGGAAAUAGACGCACUAUAAUUAGAGAACGGAAUUAUUUGAUAAUAUCGGGUACAACCCAACAUUAACUAGACAAACCUCUAAAACUUAUUUGAAGCACACGUGCAGAGGCAAUCUAUAUUAUAUAAGCAACGGAAUGCGUAAUACGUAUAUACAUAUUUUAAUUUUUUUUAUAGUGACUAUUAGGCCAAAACGACCGUGUUUUUCAUUAUUCAUUUUGUAUUAUGUAUAUCUUUGUAUUUUUUUUAUGAUAACACAUGUCACUAUAAUAAAUUACUUAAAUACUU
rnacentral:misc_RNA from 1 species